rnacentral:rRNA from 1 species
UACAGAGGGGGCAAGCAUUGUUCGGAAUUACUGGGCGUAAAGGGCGCGUAGGCGGCCUGCUAAGUCGAACGUGAAAUCCCUGGGCUCAACCCAGGAACUGCGUCCGAUACUGGUUGGCUUGAAUCCGGGAGAGGGAUGCGGAAUUCCAGGUGUAGCGGUGAAAUGCGUAGAUAUCUGGAGGAACACCGGUGGCGAAGGCGGCAUCCUGGACCGGCAUUGACGCUGAGGCGCGAAAGCCAGGGGAGCAAACGGG